rnacentral:tRNA from 1 species
AGUCCUGUGGCCUAGUGGCAAGGCAGCUCUCCUACAAAGAGACGAUCGGUGGUUCGAGUCCACCCAGGACUA